rnacentral:lncRNA from 1 species
UCUUAAUAAUUCAUGUUUAAAAUAUAUAUAUAUAUUGUCCUUUUAGUGUUGCUUUAAUUUAAAAGUAUUCACGGCCUAUAACUCAUGCAUCUGCAUCUGUGUUGUAAGUCCCAUUUGAUUUGGGUAUACAGCACCAGCACAGUACCUUGGAACAAAUCAGCAGCAUUUUGGUCAUGUAAAGAUGCACUUGACACUUUGUGACUCAGCUUAUUUAUUUUUUUAAAAAGUAGAUGAUAAGGUAUGCUAAUAUUUUUUUUUUUUCUCCUACUGAGAACAUUAUUUCUAUUGCUAACAGUAAUUGUACUAGAUAAGUGUUUAAAUAUAUCACCUCUUGCUAGAAGUUCACGAUUAAUAUAUGUUAAUUUGCUACGGUUUUUACAGCACUUCAAAAGGUCACGUAUCGCGAGUCAGUCAGUCCCUGUUUAUCAUAUUCUGCAACUUAUACACUGUAGAAGAUACAAAGACAAGUUAAAUCACAGAUGGAAUAAAAUUAUAAGGUAG